rnacentral:rRNA from 1 species
CCUACGGGUGGCAGCAGUGAGGAAUAUUGGUCAAUGGGGGAAACCCUGAUGCAGCGACGCCGCGUGAGCGAUGAAGUAUUUCGGUAUGUAAAGCUCUAUCAGCAGGGAAGUAAAUGACGGUACCUGACUCACAUGCUCUGGCUAACUACGUGCCAGCAGCCGAGGUAAUACGUAGGGGGCAAGCGUUAUCCGGAUUUACUGGGUGGAAAGGGAGCGUAGACGGCGGUGCAAGUCAGCUGUGAAAGCCCGGGGCUAAACCCCGGGACUGCAGUUGGAACUGGGCUGCUAGAGUGUCGGAGAGGCAGGCGGAAUUCCUGGUGUAGCGGUGAAAUGCGUAGAUAUUAGGAGGAACGCC